rnacentral:rRNA from 1 species
GUAGGGACCAAGCGUUGUUCGGAUUUACUGGGCGUAAAGGGCGCGUAGGCGGCGCUGUAAGUCACUUGUGAAAUCUCCGGGCUUAACUCGGAACGGCCAAGUGAUACUGCAGUGCUAGAGUGCAGAAGGGGCAAUCGGAAUUCUUGGUGUAGCGGUGAAAUGCGUAGAUAUCAAGAGGAACACCUGAGGUGAAGACGGGUUGCUGGGCUGACACUGACGCUGAGGCGCGAAAGCCAGGGGAGCAAACGGGACUAGAUACCCCGGUAGUCCUGGCCCUAAACGAUGAAUACUUGGUGUCUGGAGACUUAAUGCUCCGGGUGCCGUCGCUAACGUUUUUAGUAUUCCGCCUGGGGAGUACGCUCGCAAGAGUG